AGAGAGAGAGAGAGAGACUGUGUGUAUGAGAGUAGAUUAUGUUACACACACACACAAAUACCUAAUUGCUACCAAUAUUUGAAUAGUGCUUCAUAGCUUCCAUAGUAUAUUUAUACAGAUUUCCUCUCUUACUUCUUACAACAGUCUUAUUAAAUUACUCACUGUGUAAGAAAGGUAACUAAAACUCAUAAAAUGAUUUAGUCAAAGUCAGACCAUUGGUGACGGAACAAGGAUAUCAGUGUGCUUUAUACCACAGGCAAUUCUGGAAGCCGUUUCUCCUGCUCCUUAGACAUGGCCAGCAUGGGGCUAGAAAUCUUGCAUCAGUAUGCCAAACACUUUGGAAUUAUCAGAGUUUCAUAUUUCUCUCAGCUUGAGCAACUUUCUGGUAAGAAUAUGAAACCUGUGACUUUGUACUUUUGGGGAACUGAUCCAUCUACGUGGAUAGUAACAACACACUUUUACAAUGGCGCUGGGUAAAAGAACAUGUUUAAUUCUCCUUAGGCUUUUGCAGACUCACAAACAUCAUUAGCAGAUUGAGGUAUUUAUUAUUUUUUAAACUAAGAUGUGUUUUGUCCAAUAUACUAGUGUGCUAACUUAUAAAAAGAACAGUUUUAGUCUUGGAGAUUUCAGCCCAUAACCAACUGACUGACCAUGUAGCUUUGGGUGUGUGGUGAGGCAGCAUAUCAUGGCAGGUAUGUGUGGAAUAAACAAAUCAUUCACCUAUCUGGGCACAAAAGAGAGGGGAAGAGCGCAGCAUCCUUUGAGAGCACAUUUUCAUGGGCCUAAAAUUUCUUGUUAGAUCUUACCUGUUAAAGAUUUUACUUCUCCCGAUAGUGCCAAGCUGGUGAACAAGCCUUAUCACAUGAGCCUUUAAAGGACAUUCCAGAUCUGAACUAUAGCAACUGAAUCUCACUGUGAAGCCCUAGGUGACCUGGAAAUUCCACCAGACUGGCCUCAGACUCACAGAGAUCCAUCCACCUGUCUCUGCUCCCAAGUGCCAGGAUUAAAGAAAAGGUUGGAAUUUCUCAGUGAAGAUUACCCUUGUCGAGGAGGAAAAUGAUUGACUACUCUUAGACUGGAGAUAUCGUAGGAAGGACAUUCCUGCUAUUUCAUCCAGCAGAGCAGAUGUGUUUAGUUUUCACCUGUAUCCUUUGAAGUACUGGCAACCAACAUCACUUAGGUACCAGACCACAGGAGCUCUUAUAGACAUGGUCAGAACUAUUAAAGCAUUAUUGGAAUUGUUAUAAUAACCAAAUCUCCCCACGACAUACAUCUUUUGAAUGUUUUCCCACACUUUUGAAGGAA